rnacentral:lncRNA from 1 species
CAGAAACCUUGGGAGUCAAGCUGGAUGACUUGGAGAGAAGCAAGUUAAAGAACAAAGAUCCAACAAGCAAGCUACUAGGCAACAUAAGCAAAGAAGAGGAGUUCAGUCAACGAUGUCUGUUUCCUCCGAACACUGAGAGGGUCAUCAAGGAGGAAAAUGGAUUGGAGGUGGAACACACCCAAGAGAACACCAGUAUGAACUCUUUGAGUGCCAGCAAUGAGCUCUACCCCAUCCUGUCCAGGGCAGAACUGUUAGGCUACAGUUCUGCUACAUCUUAGCUACAGUCUAAGAUGAAAUACUAAUUCAUUCCUGAAUAAUCACACUUUGGUCAUAAAGCAACCCUUCUUCCGCUUUAUUACUCUUUGAACCUCUUCACACAUAUUUCUGUGCUUGGGAAGUAAGUGAACAGCAGCCAANAGCAUGGGACACCCUUAUAUUGUCAUGUGACACUUAACUAUUUAUAGAAACUGUGCCCAGCAUUCACACUUAGCUAGCUAUUAUUUGCACAGUGCUUACAAAAACUUCUGGAAGUGCAAGGGCCUAUUCCCCAGCCAAGUUCUGGGCUAUCUCAAAAUGUGAUUGAGAUCACUUCUGACUAUCUAGACUGCAAAACAUAAAAACAAACNAAAAAAACCCUCUGCAGUGCAAGGAGUUUACAUCCAAAAUGCUUGCAUCAACCUGCAGUCUAUAAAAAGGUACCCGUAUAACCUGUUUGUUGUGAACCCUGCUGUUAGAUGUUUCACAACCAUUUUCCUCUGUUAUACAUUUUUGGUACAGUCAAGAAAGACAACUGCUGUGCAAAUGAGCAGUUCGAUCUAGCCCCCUUUUUUUAAAAAUGAAGCUCCCCCACUGCCACACGGAAGCUUAUCUUUUACUUCCAGACUCCCUCAUCAGCCAGUCAGUCAAAUACUGGUAGAAUAAUCAUGGUGUUUAUUCAUGGUUGCUCUACUCCUUUCAAGGACUGAGCUGAGCUUGCCUAGGUUUGGCAAGUGUGGCAGAGAAAUAGGAGAGUGUAUCUUUCCUUCCAAAACAACCUGAACCUGAUGGAGGUUACGUUGUGUUUCUUCCUCUGCCCCUCUGUCAUUUACAUACCUUUCUAACUGCCAGGAUUGCUUUCUCUCUCAUUGGAUGUAUUUACAAAUGCUGCAAAUGUGCAUUGACUUUGUAAAUGCACAGAGUACCUAAGCAGUGAAAUCCAGGCUUUGAAAGUGAAGCAGGAUUCACAUGGCGGGGGAAGGGCGCUACAAGCUGUCCCGACUGCAGUGUUGACAGCCGGGG